CUGGAAUUCCUGGUGUAGCGGUGGAAUGCGCAGAUAUCAGGAGGAACACCAAUGGCGAAGGCAGGUCUCUGGGCCAUUACUGACACUGAGGAGCGAAAGCGUGGGGAGCGAACAGGAUUAGAUACCCUGGUAGUCCACGCCGUAAACGGUGGGCACUAGUUGUGGGAACCUUCCACGGUUUCUGCGACGCAGCUAACGCAUUAAGUGCCCCGCCUGGGGAGUACGAUCGCAAGAUUAAAACUCAAAGGAAUUGACGGGGCCCCGCACAAGCAGCGGAGCAUGCGGCUUAAUUCGACGCAACGCGAAGAACCUUACCAAGGCUUGACAUAUACCGGAAUGUGGCAGAGAUGUCACAGCUGUAAAAGGUCGGUAUACAGGUGGUGCAUGGUUGUCGUCAGCUCGUGUCGUGAGAUGUUGGGUUAAGUCCCGCAACGAGCGCAACCCUCGUUCUGUGUUGCCAGCAUUUAGUUGGGGACUCACAGGAGACUGCCGGGGUCAACUCGGAGGAAGGUGGGGAUGACGUCAAAUCAUCAUGCCCCUUAUGUCUUGGGCUGCACGCAUGCUACAAUGGCUGGUACAAAGGGCUGCAAUGCCGCAAGGUGGAGCGAAUCCCAAAAAGCCAGUCUCAGUUCGGAUUGGGGUCUGCAACUCGACCCCAUGAAGUCGGAGUUGCUAGUAAUCGCAGAUCAGCAACGCUGCGGUGAAUACGUUCCCGGGGCUUGUACACACCGCCCGUCACGUCAUGAAAGUCGGUAACACCCGAAGUCAGUGGCCCAACCGCAAGGGGGGAGCUGCCGAAGGUGGGAUCGGUGAUUGGGACGAAGUCGUAACAAGGUA
rnacentral:rRNA from 1 species